UUGCCUGUCUCAAAGAUCCAUCUGCGAUGAUUGGACAGGCCACAAUCUACACACGUCCACUUCAACAAGAUCUACCCUUAGACUGUGAGAGCUUACGUCCUGCCUCUGGUCCAGCUGUCCCCUGCAUUACUUGUCAGAAGGAAGUUCCCUUUUCAGAGAUGAAGCUGCACAGACUAAGCUGCAACGGGUAUGUACUUCAUAAAGAAAUAAAAGGGAAACCCAUGCAGGAAUCAGAAAGACAAGAAGAGGGAGGCCAAAAUGAUGAAAUUGCUAAAGACACAGCUUCAGUCAGCGACAGUGUUCCAGUGAGGCCAGAAACAUCAGCUCAGAGUGCAGUAGAACCAGC